CCUACGGGUGGCAGCAGUGGGGAAUAUUGCACAAUGGGGGAAACCCUGAUGCAGCGACGCCGCGUGAGUGAAGAAGUAUUUCGGUACGUAAAGCUCUAUCAGCAGGGAAGAAAAUGACGGUACCUGACUAAGAAGCCCCGGCUAACUACGUGCCAGCUGCCGCGGUAAUACGUAGGCGGCAAGCGUUAUCCGGAUUUACUGGGUGUAAAGGGAGCGUAGGCGGGUGCGCAAGUCUGGAGUGAAAUCCCAGGGCUUAACCAUGGAACUGCUUUGGAAACUGUGGGGCUAGAGUGCAGGAGAGGUAAGCGGAAUGCCUGGUGUAGCGGUGAAAUGCGUAGAUAUUAGGAGGAACACCAGUGGCGAAGGCGGCUUACUGGACUGUAACUGACGUUGAGGCACGAAAGCGUGGGGAGCAAACAGGAUUAGAUACCCUUGUAGUC
rnacentral:rRNA from 1 species